AUCAAUUCUCUUGAAGACCCCUCCUUAAUCCCGUUUUUCGCCGGCCACAAAGGCCACUUGUGUGCGACCCCGCUGGACUAUGGACUGGGAUGAUGUGGAUGUCUGCUCGGAUUCCAGCCCUUUCAGGAGAGCCUUUGAAGAUGAAACAACUGCAUUCCAAGUCCCAGUCGUCCUCCCUGGAGACAUGCUUUCCAAAAGACUACAGCCAAAGCCAGCCUUGACAUUUGCAUAAAUCCAUCAGCGUCACCACGACAGCACUGACUCCUAGGUCGCCAUCCGCCAUCACAUUUUGAAGAAAAAAAAGAAAAAAUAGGCAGGAAUGGUGAAAAAAAAUCACAGCAAAUGUUGUAAAACUUUUGCACUGCUAUGUUGCAGUCAAAUGAUUACAUUGGUCUCAAAUAAGCGCUUUUCAGGCACAACA